rnacentral:rRNA from 1 species
CCUACGGGUGGCAGCAGUAGGGAAUAUUGCUCAAUGGGGGAAACCCUGAAGCAGCCAAGCCGCGUGGAGGAUGAAUGUUUUCGGAUUGUAAACUCCUUUUUUUAGAGAAGUUAAUUACGGUAUCUAACGAAUAAGCACCGGCUAACUCCGUGCCAGCAGCCGCGGUAAUACGGAGGGUGCAAGCGUUAUUCGGAAUCACUGGGCGUAAAGAGCGCGUAGGUGGGUUAGCAAGUCAGAUGUGAAAUCCUAUGGCUUAACCAUAGAACUGCAAUUGAAACUGUUAUUCUAGAGUAUAGGAGAGGUAGGUGGAAUUCUUGGUGUAGGGGUAAAAUCCGUAGAUAUCAAGAAGAAUUCUCAUUGCGAAGGCGACCUGCUAGAACAUCACUGACGCUGAUGCGCGAAAGUGUGGGUAGCAAACAGGAUUAGAUACCCCAGUAGUC